GCCCCCUUUCUGCUACACUGGAAUCGUCUGGGCAGCCUAUCUGGCGGCUUGUUUAGAUUUUUGUAAUAUAAAUAUUAGUGCGGGGUGUCGGGACUUUGACUGGAGCAGCCCGCGUGCGCGCCCCGCACGCUUAGCCCCGCGCACACUCUCGUGCGCGCGUGUGCACACCCAGUUACUCUAGGGCAAAGGGGGAGCGUGUGUGUGUGUGUGUGUGUGUGUGUGUGUGUGUGUGUGUGUGUGUGGGGGGGCCGGUUGGAGCAAGAGGAGGGGGAGGGGGCCGAGGAAAGAGAGCCGCUGCACGGCAGCCCCAGCUUCCGAGCGGGCUUCUCAGCAGGCAACCGUUGCUCACCCGGCAAGGACUGUGCACUCACUAGACUCCAUCAGCUUCAGAGUGGUUUGGAUUCCUUCCCUUCCCGAUGACCUGCCUCUGACCCUUGUUCUUUCCUGGCCUGGCUCACUCUGCCUGGAGAAAGUGUACGUGUGUAUGUGGGGAAGCUCUCUGCGAUGACAAGUCCACUUCUGCACUGGGCAAGGAAAAUGUGGGGUGAUGGACCGAUGCAAUUUGUCAAAGAGGUCAGCUGUGCAUUGGACACCCACUAGCAUAAGAGUCUGGAGGUUCUGCACUUUCUACGCUCACACAAGAGCAAACACGAAAGGCGGCCGAGGCAGGGGAAAGGAUGCUCCGCACGGAAUGGGGGCCCACGCCAGAGGCCGAAUGUGCGCGCGCGCAUGUGCGAGCCGCCAGCAGCGACGGUGCCUGGGCUCACUGGGGAAGGGCUGUUUCAAUCAAUCAACGAUGUGGAAACUGAGUUUCAAGGAGGGAAAGUGAAGCUUGCCCAAAGCCACAUAUGUAGUAAGAGAAUUGGAAUGGAGACCCCUCUGACUCCAAAUCCCGGGAUUACAGCAAGUGGAGGACAGAGGAGCUGCACUCUUCCUAGGCUUCAACAACAACGACAAUAAAAAACAAAUCAGGAAAAGGGAAGUUGAGAUCUGGGCUUUCUGGACCGAAAUUGGAUUUCACUUCACCUUGGCAAUGAAUUGUGUUUAAAAGGGUCCUUCACAAAGAUUCCCAGUGAUUAGAGGGAAUACCUCUCCUAUCAAAGAGAAGAUAUCGUCUUCCAGUUGGUAUCUUUGCAGCGGUGCCCCAGGAGUGAAGAUCUGUUGUCUCUUGGCUGGCUGUGUACACUAUGCAAAUGCUACUUUGUAAACCAAAGCUUUAUUGAAAAUAUUUAGGUUCUUUCCAUGUGAAUAUUUCAUGCUUUCAUGAAAAAAAAAAGAAUGUAAUAUUCUUGUCCCUCAACACCUUCAAGCCUAGAAAAGCUAUAUGGGAUUAGGCAUGGACUUCGAAGCUGAAAAAAAAAACCUGAGAAAUCAUCUAGUCCAACCACCUCAUUUUACAGAUAGGGAAACUGAGGCCAAGAGGUGAAGUGAAUAUAUACUCUCCUGACUCUGAUCUGUAGAUAAAGGGGAAGUUUACUAUGUUAUUUUGCUUCCGUGAGUUCUUUAAGGUUCUGUGAUUUAGUUGGUGUGUGAACUUCCUCCACUAAACAGGUUACAACUCAUGUAUUACUUACUAGAUAAGUCUUAGAGAAUGGCUUGAAGCCCAGAGAAGUUAAGUGGAUUGCCUAUGGUCACACUGUUAGAGGUGAGAUUAACUCACAUCUUCUCGACUCCAGAUGCAGCAUUUUAUCCACAGCACCAUUCUGCCUCUCUUUAUGAAUAUAAUAACAUUUUGUGAACUAACUAAUUAAUUUACCAUAGAUGGCUAUGGCAAUUCACGAAAGAACCAAAAGUACUAGAGUACUGGGAAAGACAUCUGUCCAAGUGGCAGAAGUUAAUAUAAGAAACAAAACCAACGCUCCAAACGAGUCUAUCCUGUCCAAACUUGAUAUUUGGUCACUUCAGAUUGUAAGCUCCUUGAGGGCAAGGAAGAUCUUUUGCCUUUCUUUGUAUCCCCAGUGCUUAGCACAGUGCCUAGCACAUAGUAGGCACUUAAUAAAUAUUUGUUGAUUGAAUGACUUGAUUUUUAUGUUGUUAGAUGGAAAUUCUAUAUAGGAAAACAUCUCUCACAAAUCUCUAAGAACCCUAAGAGGGAGAAGCAAAGAUUAUCUUAUAGAAAAAAAAGAAAGUUUUUUUUCCUUUGAGA